rnacentral:lncRNA from 1 species
GUGAGACGAGAGGUAAAAAUGGACAAGUGUCCGACAGUAGAAUUAAGGGUACAAGAUACCCACCUGAGAGAAAAAAAUGAAAGAUAGAGCAUCUCAUUCUCCUCAUAAAGUUUCAAAAAGCAAGGAAGGUAUGUAUCCCCUCAAAAGAGCAAAAGUAGAAUUAGACUUCCACCAUUGUUAUCACCAUCAUCACCAUACACCAUUCAUUCGCC